rnacentral:rRNA from 1 species
UACGUAGGGUGCGAGCGUUAAUCGGAAUUAUUGGGCGUAAAGCGCACGUAGGCGGCUUUUCAAGUCCCAUGUGAAAGCCCACGGCUUAACCGUGGAAGUGCAUGGGAAACUGGAAAGCUUGAGUACUUAAGAGGAUCGCGGAAUUCCCGGUGUAGAGGUGAAAUUCGUAGAUAUCGGGAGGAACACCAGUGGCGAAGGCGGCGAUCUGGGAAGAUACUGACGCUGAGGUGCGAAAGCGUGGGGAGCAAACAGG